rnacentral:rRNA from 1 species
CGCAAUGGGCGAAAGCCUGACGGAGCGACGCCGCGUGAUGGAUGAAGUCCUUCGGGACGUAAACAUCUUUUAUGAGGGAGGAAUUUUUGACGUUACCUCAUGAAUAAGGGGCUCCUAACUCUGUGCCAGCAGCAGCGGUAAUACGAGUGCCCCAAGCGUUAUCCGGAAUUACUGGGCGUAAAGGGUGUGUAGGUGGUUGUAUUAGUCUCUUGUUAAAUUCUUCGGCUUAACCGGGGGCAUGCAGGAGAAACGGUACAACUAGAGGAUACGAGGGGUCUGUGGAACUCAUGGAGUAGGGGUGAAAUCCGUUGAUAUCAUGGGGAACACCAAAAGCGAAGGCAGCAGACUGGCGUAUUCCUGACACUGAAACACGAAAGCGUAGGUAG